rnacentral:rRNA from 1 species
ACUGGGGAUAAUUCCGGAUAACGCAUAUUUGCUGGAAUGCUUUAUGCGUCAAAAGGAUUCGUCUGCCCAAGGAUGGGUCUGCGGCCUAUCAGGUAGUAGUGGGUGUAAUGUACCUACUAGCCAGCGACGGGUACGGGUUGUGAGAGCAAGAGCCCGGAGAUGGAUUCUGAGACAUGAAUCCAGGCCCUACGGGGCGCAGCAGGCGCGAAAACUUUACAAUGCGGGAAACCGUGAUAAGGGGACACCGAGUGCCAGCAUCAUAUGCUGGCUGUCCGGAUGUGUAAAAUACAUCCGUUAGCAAGGGCCGGGCAAGACCGGUGCCAGCCGCCGCGGUAACACCGGCGGCCCGAGUGGUGAUCGUGAUUAUUGGGUCUAAAGGGUCCGUAGCCGGUUUGGUCAGUCCUCCGGGAAAUCUGAUAGCUCAACUAUUAGGCUUUCGGGGGAUACUGCCAGACUUGGAACCGGGAGAGGUAAGAGGUACUACAGGGGUAGGAGUGAAAUCUUGUAAUCCCUGUGGGACCACCUGUGGCGAAGGCGUCUUACCAGAACGGGUUCGACGGUGAGGGACGAAAGCUGGGGGCACGAACCGGAUUAGAUACCCGGGUAGUCCCAGCCGUAAACGAUGCUCGCUAGGUGUCAGGCAUGGCGCGACCGUGUCUGGUGCCGCAGGGAAGCCGUGAAGCGAGCCACCUGGGAAGUACGGCCGCAAGGCUGAAACUUAAAGGAAUUGGCGGGGGAGCACAACAACGGGUGGAGCCUGCGGUUUAAUUGGACUCAACGCCGGACAACUCACCGGGGGCGACAGCAAUAUGUAGGCCAAGCUGAAGACUUUGCCUGAAUCGCUGAGAGGAGGUGCAUGGCCGUCGCCAGUUCGUACUGUGAAGCAUCCUGUUAAGUCAGGCAACGAGCGAGACCCGUGCCCACUGUUACCAGCAUGUCCUCCGGGACGAUGGGUACUCUGUGGGGACCGCCGAUGUUAAAUCGGAGGAAGGUGCGGGCCACGGUAGGUCAGUAUGCCCCGAAUCUCCCGGGCUACACGCGGGCUACAAUGGAUGGGACAAUGGGUCCCUCCCCUGAAAAGGGCUGGUAAUCUCACAAACCCAUUCGUAGUUCGGAUCGAGGGCUGUAACUCGCCCUCGUGAAGCUGGAAUCCGUAGUAAUCGCGU